GACGUAGGAGGCGAGCGUUAUCCGGAUUCACUGGGCGUAAAGCGCAUGUAGGCGGAUGUCUAAGUCGUGUGUUAAAGCCCCUGGCUCAACUGGGGAGGUCAUGCGAGACUGGAUGACUUGAGGGCAACAGAGGCACGUGGAACUCCCGGUGUAGCGGUGGAAUGCGUAGAGAUCGGGAAGAACACCCGUGGCGAAGGCGGCUUGCUGGGCCGGACCUGACGCUGAGACGCGAAGGCGUGGGAGCGAACGGG
rnacentral:rRNA from 1 species